GAUGAACGCUGGCGGCGUGCUUAACACAUGCAAGUCGAACGAAGCACAUGAAUGGAUCCCUUCGGGGUGAAGCUCUUGUGACUGAGUGGCGGACGGGUGAGUAACGCGUGGGUAACCUGCCUCAUACAGGGGGAUAACAGUUGGAAACGACUGCUAAUACCGCAUAGUAUCAGCUUUAGGCAUCUUUAGUUGAUUAAAGAAUUUCGGAAACGGAUAGGCUCGCGUGACAUUAGCUAGAUGGCGGGGUAACGGCCCACCAUGGCGACGAUCAGUAGCCGGUCUGAGAGGAUGAACGGCCACAUUGGGACUGAGAUACGGCCCAGACUCCUACGGGAGGCAGCAGUGGGGAAUAUUGGGCAAUGGGGGAAACCCUGACCCAGCAACGCCGCGUGAAGGAAGAAGGCCUUCGGGUUGUAAACGUUCUUUAGUAGGGUACGAAGAACGUGACGGUACC
rnacentral:rRNA from 1 species